CUCAGAAAACAAAAUGCUAAAGUCUCUCUUAAGAGUAGAAGCCUGGAAGGAAACCAACGAAUCCCAUUCUCCCAUUGACAACUGUCAAUGUUUGCUCACAGGUCGGGGCAGAGGUGGGGGUGCGGCGGGGAGUGUAGGCUUUUCACACUAUCAGUGUCUAAAUUAAGGGAGUAAGGCAACCUGAAACCUCUUGCUCCCAGGUUCCAUAGUUCCCAUUCCCCUUCCAGUUGGAAAUUUGUGCUGCAACCAGAGGAACCAGAAAGGGGGUGAGAACACUUAGGGGACUGGGUCCUAAGAUCAAAGGCCAGUCUUGUGGCAAUAAUGACAGUUCUCAGGGGGACUGUGACUCACUACAUUCCACUCCUUGUUGGGGUGAUCAGACCCAACACCAGGCCAUGGGGCCUACAAAGUCCGGCGGAGUCAAAGGAAUGAGAAAAGACAAGUUAAGGCAUAAAGUGGGACCAGGGGGCCAACGCUAGUAUGGAGGCUGUGAAGGCCCCGAGCUCUGGGACCCUAUGCCAUUUAUUGGUAAUCCAACAAAGAAGCAGGUAGUGAGGAUAUGAGGGUUGAGAGAAAGCAGUGCAUCAGGUGAAUGAGCUACAGCUGUGACGGUUUAGCAUUUUCUUUGCAGUAUAUGGAACAUGUUAUGCUACUUGAGAUAAUGGGAAACAUGUUCUUCUAGUUUAAGAUACAAUCGUUUUAUGAACCUGGGAUUGCUAGAACCAAGAAGCCAGCAAGUCUAGACACAUUCCAGAGGCCACGAGGGGUUUUAUGCCCUGAGCCCUGGAUUCCAUCCAAGCCAUGAGGGGUUUUAUGCCCUGGACUUAGAUUGUGGUGUGGCAGGGCAGACUUCCACCCUUUAGCAUGGAGAUUGGUGUUCCAAAGGUCAUGAGGGGUUUUAUACUCUGGACCCCAGACAUGUUCCAAGACUCUUUUGCAUUAUGUCAGACGUGCAAGCCCUGCCUCAGCUUCUCUCCCAACCCUCAGCUUUUCUCCCAACAACUCCUCCCUGUUGGGGGGGCCACAUCACUCUGAACGGUAGAGGGGGUGCUUGGAGACAUGAGCUCAAAAAGCCUAGGGAGGUCUGGCUUGGGGUGGCAGGAGGUGAGGACCAAAUCUGGAGUGGAGGGCCCUGGGAGUCAUUGGCCCAAAGUCACCCAGGGGUGACCAGUGAGGGUGGGGACUGGGCUGCUGAGGGGGCAGGGCUGGCUGACAAGACUUUGGUUGGGGAAGCCCAGAGGCCCAGCCUGGUAUGCCUCAGGAGUGGCACGGACUCUGGCAGUGGUCCUGCUGUCGAAGGGGGCUUAGGGCUGGGUCAGGUAGCCACAACCCCGUGCAUUUUACCUUUUUUUCUUGGCCUUGACCAGUUGGCUUCAUUUUACCGUUUUUUUCUUGGCUGUGUCCAAUUCCCUGUGUUAGUUUCUUCCGAUACCACAGGGCAGGGAGGGAGGUGGGGUUGGGACCACAUCAGUGUAAUCCUGGCAACCACUGCUAAACACUUCUAGCCAGCUACCACCAGUUGUGCAACUGAGCCAGAGGAGGCAUAACCAGGGCCUCACUAGAAUGCAGGAUAAGGGCACGGCUUCAAUGCUCCAAGCCCAUUGGUCGACGAGAAAGGAGGGAAAGGGAAAAAAAAGGGAAAGGAGGCACGGCCAGGUGGCAGCGUGGCCAGAGGGACCUGUGGUUUCACAAGUAAAGCUGCACAGGCAACCGCUCUCCCCGCCCACUCCAGGAAAGGGGCAGGGCUGGCUUUCACUUUAAAAACUUUAAAACUUAAAAAAAAAAUCUGCGUGUACUUUAUAUAUAUGUGUUUGUCUAUUGUGUAUAUAUGUGUUCUUUCAGAGCUGUCUUCAUUAUACAGCUUCUAUGCCAGGUCUUUGAUUUUGGCCUUUAUUAUUCAUCUUUGAAUGGAGCACAAGAAUUACCAGUAUUACCUCAAUUGAGGUACAAAUCCUAUAAAAAUGGAAAACCCAUAGCAUGCUCAAUGAUUAAGGCAGAAGACUAUAUUAUCCAACAUUCCAAUAAGAUAAAAUAAUCACAAUGAUUUCUCUUUUUUGGAAAAAGAUUAUUUUAUUCUCCUACAUUAUUGUUAAGUUUUUUUUUUAACAAGAAACAUGUCUAAUAUCUUUAAAAACACACAUUUUUCAAUUUAAUAAGCACUCAAACCUCUUUACCAGUUUAAAAAAAAAUUACAAGGCCCUUCUAAAGUAAGGCUAAAUGCUAAGUGAUGGGGGAGAGAAAAAGGACAUAAACAACUCCUACUCUCAAGGGGUUAAUCACUAAAUCCUAUUUGACUAGAAUCACCUGGCCUCUCCAAACCUUGCAAAUGAAACUGAAUUUCUCACUAGAUACUAGACUAUGACUUGCAGCAAUUGUGAAAACCAAGAAUUGUGUUAUGUCACUGGGUAUUGCGUGUUAUCUGAAUUCCACACUAGGCUGGGAUCAAGGGUUGAAUCUUUCAUGAUUUGCUCCAUAACCUGUGUGCUUCUUAUCCCAGACCCAAGUAAGCUUUCUUCUAGAGUUCUACAAUUUACAGUUAGUAUACAAGAAUGGUCCUCAAAAAUGUAGUCUCUGGACCAGCACCACCAGCAUCACCGGAGAACUUUUUAUAAAUGCAUAUUCUCAGGCUCCACCUUAGACCUGAUGAAUCAGAAACUCUGGAGUAGGGCCUAGCAAUCUGUGCUGCAAUAAACCCUGCAGGUGUUCAGGAACGUCUGGCAUACAGCAGGUAGAAAAAUGUGUUUCCUUCUGCAGGUCCAAAGCCAGGGAUACUGUAUGUUCUGUCUUGAUAUGAAACAAAGACAUGCAAUUAAAAGACAUAAAUCUCCUUCCUACUCCCAUCCUCCAGCUAAUGUGUUUUAUUUUUAUAAGUUAAAUAAGAAAACAAGUGGCAAUCAGAGAUUUAAUCUAAAAAGUAUGUUUACAGAUAUCUGUUCUUAUCCAGUCUGAUCUUAUACAAUACCACUUACAUCCUCCUACAUCUAAAGUUUUAGAAAGGGACCUUCACAAUAUAAGUCUAAGGCACACUAGGAGUGUGAUAAUAAAAGACCAAGUAGAUCUGAAUGUCCAAACUUACUAGAGAAGAAAAGUGGAAUCACUGGCUUUAUUUUCAAAUUGCAUUCAACAGGAAAUUAAGGUUUUGAAUUUUUUUCACCUCUGUAUUUCCAAGUUAAUAGAAUUAAACCAGAAUACUCCAUACUUCCAAAGCCUCUAGCCAGGCAAAGUUUUACUUUAUUACUUCUUGCUUUUGAUUGAUAUAAAGCAGUGUCCUGGUAGGCAUAUUGUGUAUACUUGCAAAGAUGCAGAACUAAACAGUUGUUAAUAUUAAAACAAAAGUCCUGUAAACCUCAGAUGGUGAGUGUAAUAUUUUAGCACUAACACCAAAGCCUCAGAUAUGAAAAGAUACCAAAAACACCACUAGCAAACAAAAGUAAACUCUCAGCUGGAAGCAGUAGUUCAUACCUGUAAGCCCACCACUUUGGCAAGCUAAGGUGGGAGGAUUACUUGGAGUCAGGAGUCCAAGACCAGCCUGGGCAGCAUAGUGAAUUCACAUCUCUACAAAAAAAUUUAAAAAUUAGCAUGCCUAUAGUCCUAGCCACCUGGGAGUCUGAGGUGGGAAAAUCGCUUGAGCCCAGGAGUUUGAGGCUGCUGUAGCUACGAUAAUGCCACUGCACUCUAGCCUAGGUGACAGAGCGAGACCUAGAUAAUUACAUUCUGUCCUGCUCCUGUUUACACUAAAAUCACUAAGUUAAAAUGCUUUCAUUCAGCAGGAUAAAAAUUAAGUGACAUGGCCGGGUGUGGUGGCUCACAUCUGUAAUCCCAGCACUUUGGGAGGCCGAGGUGGGUGGAUCACCUGAGGUCGGGAGUUCGAGACCAACCUGACCAACAUGGAGAAACCCCGUCUCUAAUUCAAAUACAAAAUUAGCCGGGCAUGGUGGCACAUGCCUGUAAUCCUAGCUACUCAGGAGGCUGAGGCGGGAAGAAUCGCUUGAACCUGGAAGGGGGAGGUUUCAGUGAGCCAAGAUCACACCACUGCACUCCAGCCUGGGCAAACAAGAGCGAAACUCCACCUCAAAAAAAAAAAAAAAAAAAAAAAAAAAUUAAGUGAAAUGUGGCCAGGCGCGGUGGCUCACGCCUGUAAUCCCAGCACUUUGGGAAGCUGAGGCAGGCAGAUCACCUGAGUUCAGGAGUUCGAGACCAGACUGGCCAACGUGGUGAAACACAGUCUCUACUACAAAUACAAAAAUUAGCCAGGCAUGGUGGCGAGUGCCUGUAGUCCCAGCUACUCAGGAGACUAAGGCAGGAGAAUCACCUGAACCUAGGAGGCAGAGGUUGCAGUGGGCCAAGAUCAUGCCACUGCACUCCAGCCAGACUCUGUCUCAAAAAAUAAAAAUAAAUUGAUUAAGUGAAAUGUGAUUUUGGAGCUUGGGUGGCUAAAAAAGGAAAGAAAAUAUAAAGCUAAACAACAAAUUACUUACUAGGAGAAAGUUUUUGUAACCUCAGUGACAGAUAAAAGGUUUAUAUCCUAAGCCCAUAAAGAAAUCUUUAAAAUUACUCAGAAAAAUGAUUUUAAAAGAUAAAAUUAUUUCACAAUUUUAUAAAAUUACUCAGAGAAAAACAAAUGGUUUCCAACAGAAAAUGGGAAAUGGAGAAACAAACACUUCUCACAAGAAUAAAAAUUGCCAAUAAGCAUAUAAAAGAUUCAAAAGCACUAGAAAUCAAAGAAAUGUAAUGAAAACAAUGAGAUUUUCUGCUUAAAGACUAGCAAAGACAACAAAUGGAAGGGGGAAGCUGGAGCUCUGUCCCUGUUGGUGGGAGUAUAAACUGAACCAAUCUUCCUGCACAAUAAUUUGAAAAUGUCUAUUAAAAUCCCUAAAACUGUUUUAUAUUAUUUUCCUCCAGAAAUUCUACUUCUAUGAAUUCAGUCAUAAAAUGCUUGCUCGAGUCCAUUAAAAUGUAUAUAUGAGGAAAUUCACCUCUGGGGUGGCAAUGAUUAACUUAAUAUACAUCCAGCUAUUAAAAAUGAUGAUGCCAGGAUAUACUUACUGCCAUAGAAGCAAGCCCAAAAUAUAGAGUGUUUGGUAAACUUCACCAUGUCUAUAUCUCUGUGUCUUUGCACCUGCUGGUCUCUGCUUGGAAUGAUGUCUCAAGGUUUUAUUCACCUGGAAAGAAUUCCUACUCACCCUUAAAGACUCAGCUUAAAUAACCCCUUCUCUGCUGUCAUACAAAGAUGACCCAAGGACAGAGGCAGCAGAGGGCAGUGCAGGGUAGUGCAAGAAGCUCUGGCUCUGGGACUAAUUGGACGAGGUCUGAAUCUUAACUCUGGCACCUGUUAGUGAAGCAGCCUCAAGCAAAUCACUUAAUGCUUCUGUACUUCCUUUAUUGUUUUGUAAAUAAAGAAAAUUCAAUCUACCAA